AAGUCGCUUGAUGACAUGAGAUGUCACGAGACUUUUAAUCUUGGGGUCCAGGGUUCGAAUCCCUGCGGGCUCACCA
rnacentral:tRNA from 1 species